CUGCCCACUGAAGUUUUGAAAUGGACGCGGUAUUUUGACCGUGCAAAGGUAGCAUAAUCAUUAGUUUUUUAAUUGAAAGCUUGUAUGAACGAUUGAAUAAGAUACUAAUUGUCUCAUGAUUAUUUAAUAUAAAAUUUAAUUUUUGAGUUAAAAAGCUUAAAUAUUAUUAGAGGACGAGAAGACCCUAUAGAUUUUUAUAAAAUAAUUAUUUUAAUAUAUUAAUUUUAUUUUUUUUUUUAAUACUUAUUUUUAUUUUGUUGGGGUGACAUUAAAAUUUAAUUAACUUUUAAUUUAAAUUAAACAUUAAUUUAUGAAUUUUUAAUAAUUUGUUUUUAUUAUUAAUUAUUGACCCUGAAUUUUAGGUUAUUAGAUUAAAAUACCUUAGGGAUAACAGCGUAAUUUAUUUGGAGAGAUCAUAUUAAUAAAUAAGUUUGCGACCUCGAUGUUGAAUUAAGAAUAUAUUUAGGUGUAGGUGCUUAAAUUCA
rnacentral:rRNA from 1 species